AUGAGCCAUGCAAUGAAGCUAUGGGAGAUAGUCAUUGAGCACCGCUUAAGAAGAAUGACAAGCGUGACCAAAAAUCAGUGUGGUUUCAUGCCUGGGAGGUCGACCAUGGAAGCCAUUUUCUUGGUACGACAACUUAUGGAGAGAUAUAGGGAGCAUAAGAAGGACUUGCAUAUGGUGUUCAUUGACUUGGAGAAGGCCUAUGAUAAGAUACCGCGGAAUGUCAUGUGGUGGGCCUUGGAGAAACACAAAGUCCCAGCAAAGUACAUUACCCUCAUCAAGGACAUGUACAAUAAUGUUGUGACAAGUGUUCGAACAAGUGAUGUCGACACCGAUGCCUUCCCGAUUAAGAUAGGACUGCAUCAGGGGUCAGCUUUGAGCCCUUAUCUUUUUGCAUUGGUGAUGGAUGAGGUCACAAGGGGUAUACAAGGAGAUAUCCCAUGGUGUAUGCUCUUUGCGGAUGAUGUGGUGCUAGUUGACGAUAGUCGAACGGGGGUAAAUAGGAAGUUAGACUUAUGGAGACAAACCUUGGAAUCGAAAGGGUUUAGGCUUAGUAGAACUAAAACCGAGUACAUGAUGUGCGGUUUCAGUACUACUAGCUGUGAGGAGGAGGAGGUUAGCCUUGAUGGCCAGGUGGUACCCCGGAAGGACACCUUUCGGUAUUUGGGGUCAAUGUUGCAGGAGGAUGGGGGUAUUGAUGAAGAUGUGAACCAUCGAAUCAAAGCCGGAUGGAUGAAGUGGCGCCAAGCUUCUGGCAUUCUCUGUGACAAGAGAGUGCCACAAAAGCUAAAAGGCAAGUUCUACAAGACGGCGGUUCGACCCGCAAUGUUGUAUGGCGCGGAGUGUUGGCCGACUAAAAGGCGACAUGUUCAACAGUUAGGUGUGGCGGAGAUGCGUAUGUUGAGAUGGAUGUGUGGCCACACGAGGAAGGAUCGAGUCCGGAAUGAUGAUAUACGAGAUAGAGUUGGGGUAGCACCAAUUGAGGAGAAGCUUGUCCAACAUCGUUUGAGAUGGUUUGGGCAUAUUCAGCGCAGGCCUCCAGAAGCUCCAGUGCAUAGCGGACGGCUAAAGCGUGCGGAGAAUGUCAAGAGAGGGCGGGGUCGACCGAUUUUGACAUGGGAGGAGUCCGUUAAGAGAGACCUGAAGGAUUGGAGUAUCGACAAAGAGCUAGCUAUGGACAGGGGUGCGUGGAAGCUUGCUAUCCAUGUGCCAGAGCCAUGA
rnacentral:rRNA from 1 species